GAUGAAGAACGUAGCAAAAUGCGAUAAGUAAUGUGAAUUGCAGAAUUCAGUGAAUCAUCGAAUCUUUGAACGCACAUUGCGCCCGUUAGUAUUCUGACGGGCAUGCCUGUUCGAGCGUCAUUUACACCCCUCGGGCCGUUCUGCGGCCCGGCGUUGGGACGUUGCGCGUGCUCUGUCCGCGCAAGUCCUGAAAAAGAGUGGCGGGCCGUCCCGCGUCGCCUUUGCGUAGUCACCAUACCUCGCUCUGGGACGUGGCCGGUUUUCCAGCCGUAAAACCCCCUUUUUUUUUCUAAGGUUGACCUCGGAUCAGGUAGGGAUACCCGCUGAACUUAAGCAUAUCAAUAAGCGGAGGA
rnacentral:misc_RNA from 1 species